rnacentral:rRNA from 1 species
GAUGAACGCUGGCGGCGUGCCUAAUACAUGCAAGUCGAGCGAACAGACGAGGAGCUUGCUCCUCUGACGUUAGCGGCGGACGGGUGAGUAACACGUGGAUAACCUACCUAUAAGACUGGGAUAACUUCGGGAAACCGGAGCUAAUACCGGAUAAUAUAUUGAACCGCAUGGUUCAAUAGUGAAAGACGGUUUUGCUGUCACUUAUAGAUGUAUCCGCGCCGCAUUAGCUAGUUGGUAAGGUAACGGCUUACCAAGGCAACGAUGCGUAGCCGACCUGAGAGGGUGAUCGGCCACACUGGAACUGAGACACGGUCCAGACUCCUACGGGAGGCAGCAGUAGGGAAUCUUCCGCAAUGGGCGAAAGCCUGACGGAGCAACGCCGCGUGAGUGAUGAAGGUCUUCGGAUCGUAAAACUCUGUUAUUAGGGAAGAACAAAUGUGUAAGUAACUAUGCACGUCUUGACGGUACCUAAUCAGAAAGCAACGGCUAACUACGUG